GACGAACGCUGGCGGCGUGCUUAACACAUGCAAGUCGAGCGGAAAGGCCCUUUCGGGGGUACUCGAGCGGCGAACGGGUGAGUAACACGUGAGUAAUCUGCCCUUGGCUUUGGGAUAACCACCGGAAACGGUGGCUAAUACCGGAUAUGACGGGCUCCGGCAUCGGGGUUCGUGGAAAGUUUUUUCGGCCAGGGAUGUGCUCGCGGCCUAUCAGCUUGUUGGUGGGGUAAUGGCUACCAAGGCUUCGACGGGUAGCCGGCCUGAGAGGGUGACCGGCCACACUGGGACUGAGACACGGCCCAGACUCCUACGGGAGGCAGCAGUGGGAAUAUUGGGACAAUGGGCGGAAGCCUGAUCCAGCAACGCCGCGUGAGGGAUGACGGCCUUGGGUUGUAACCUCUUUCAGUACCG
rnacentral:rRNA from 1 species